rnacentral:rRNA from 1 species
UACGGAGGGUGCAAGCGUUAUCCGGAUUUACUGGGUUUAAAGGGUGCGUAGGUGGAGUGGUAAGUCAGUGGUGAAAUCUCCAAGCUUAACUUGGAAACUGCCGUUGAUACUAUCAUUCUUGAAUAUCGUGGAGGUAAGCGGAAUAUGUCAUGUAGCGGUGAAAUGCUUAGAUAUGACAUAGAACACCGAUUGCGAAGGCAGCUUGCUACACGAUCAUUGACACUGAGGCACGAAAGUGUGGGGAUCAAACAGG